AUUCCAGCUCCAAUAGCGUAUAUUAAUGUUGUUGCAGUUAAAAAGCUCGUAGUUGGAUUCCUGGCACGGGGUAGCCGGUCCGCCUUGCAAAAGGUGCGCACUGAGCGGCCUCGGCCAUCCUUGCGAUGGUCUAUCCUGGCAUUCAGUUGUCGGGGUGGGGAUUCGCGACGUUUACUGUGAAAAAAUCAGAGUGUUCAACGCAGGCUUACGCCUUGAAUACAUUAGCAUGGAAUAAUGAGAUAGGACCUUGGCGGUCUAUUUUGUUGGUUUGCACGCCGAGGUAAUGAUUAAAAGGGACGGUUGGGGUUCUUCGUAUUCAAUUGUCAGAGGUGAAAUUCUUGGAUUUAUGGAAGACGAACUGCUGCGAAAGCGUCGAACAAGGACGUUCUCAUUG
rnacentral:rRNA from 1 species